rnacentral:rRNA from 1 species
ACGGGAGGCAGCAGUGGGGAAUAUUGGACAAUGGGGGAAACCCUGAUCCAGCGACGCCGCGUGAGUGAAGAAGUAUUUCGGUAUGUAAAGCUCUAUCAGCAGGGAAGAUAAUGACGGUACCUGACUAAGAAGCCCCGGCUAACUACGUGCCAGCAGCCGCGGUAAUACGUAGGGGGCAAGCGUUAUCCGGAUUUACUGGGUGUAAAGGGAGCGUAGACGGUUUGCCAAGUCUGAUGUGAAAGGUGGGGGCUCAACCCCCAAACUGCAUUGGAAACUGGUAGACUAGAGUGUCGGAGAGGUAAGUGGAAUUCCUAGUGUAGCGGUGAAAUGCGUAGAUAUUAGGAGGAACACCAGUGGCGAAGGCGGCUUACUGGACGAUAACUGACGUUGAGGCUCGAAAGCGUGGGGAGCAAACAGGAUUAGAUACCCUGGUA